UUGAACAUCGACAUCUUGAACGCACAUUGCGGCCACGGGUUUUCCUGUGGCCACGCCUGUCCGAGGGUCGGCU
rnacentral:rRNA from 1 species